UGGUGAACAUGAUGUGCCACUAGGCCUAAAUU
rnacentral:piRNA from 1 species